AUUGAACGCUGGCGGCAUGCCUUACACAUGCAAGUCGAACGGCAGCGGGGGAGAAGCUUGCUUUUCCUGCCGGCGAGUGGCGAACGGGUGAGUAAUACAUCGGAACGUGCCCUGUAGUGGGGGAUAACUAGUCGAAAGAUUAGCUAAUACCGCAUACGACCUGAGGGUGAAAGUGGGGGACCGCAAGGCCCCAUGCUAUAGGAGCGGCCGAUGCCUGAUUAGCUAGUCGGUGGGGUAAAGGCCUACCAAGGCGACGAUCAGUAGCUGGUCUGAGGGGACGAUCGGCAACGCUGAGACUGAGACACGGCCCAGACUCCUACGGGAGGCAGCAGUGGGUAAUUUUGGACAAUGGGCGAAAGCCUGAUUCAGCAAUGCCGCGUGGGUGAAGAAGGCCUUCGGGUUGUAAAGCACUUUUGUCCGGAAAGAAAUGGCUCUGGUUAAUACCUGGGGUCGAUGACGGUACCGGAAGAAUAAGGACCGGCUAACUACGUGCCAGCCGCCGCAGUAA
rnacentral:rRNA from 1 species